GCCAGGUUAGCUCAGUCGGUAGAGCAUGAGACUCUUAAUCUCGAGGGUCGUGUUCCUUUGGGUGAAGUUUUCCUUUAAACACGGUGUCAGAAGGGUCUGAAACUACUUGUAUACAUAUUGAGUUGCAAUCCACACCUAUACA